UACGUAGGGGGCAAGCGUUGUCCGGAAUUAUUGGGCGUAAAGCGCGCGCAGGCGCCUUGUAAGUCUGGUGUUUAAGCUCGGGGCUCAACCCCGAUACGCACCGGAAACUGCAAAGCUUGAGUGCAGAAGAGGAAAGUGGAAUUCCACGUGUAGCGGUGAAAUGCGUAGAGAUGUGGAGGAACACCAGUGGCGAAGGCGACUUUCUGGGCUGUAACUGACGCUGAGACACGAAAGCGUGGGUAGCGAACAGG
rnacentral:rRNA from 1 species